CUGGUAAAGAGGCACGGGCCCAGCCAUGAAUCAGUGUAGUAUACGUUUUAAUAUUAGGCUUCACUCCUGCAGAUCUCAUUUCUUCAAUUGUGUUUGUUGCUCUCUGCAUAUCUCCAGCCUUGGAACAAGCAUUUAUGAAGGACGUGUAGGUGUGGAUGUCAGGUUGAACCCCUUCUCGUUUCAUUUGUUGCAUUAGAUCAG
rnacentral:misc_RNA from 1 species